UACGUAGGGGGCAAGCGUUGUCCGGAUUUAUUGGGCGUAAAGAGCGUGUAGGCGCCAGACAGGUCCGUUGUGAAAACUCGAGGCUCAACCUCGAGACGCCGAUGGAAACCGUCUGGCUAGAGUCCGGAAGAGGAGAGUGGAAUUCCUGGUGUAGCGGUGAAAUGCGCAGAUAUCAGGAAGAACACCCGUGGCGAAGGCGGCUCUCUGGG
rnacentral:rRNA from 1 species